UGGGGAAUAUUGCACAAUGGGCGCAAGCCUGAUGCAGCCAUGCCGCGUGUAUGAAGAAGGCCUUCGGGUUGUAAAGUACUUUCAGCGGGGAGGAAGGGAGUAAAGUUAAUACCUUUGCUCAUUGACGUUACCCGCAGAAGAAGCACCGGCUAACUCCGUGCCAGCAGCCGCGGUAAUACGGAGGGUGCAAGCGUUAAUCGGAAUUACUGGGCGUAAAGCGCACGCAGGCGGUCUGUCAAGUCGGAUGUGAAAUCCCCGGGCUCAACCUGGGAACUGCAUUCGAAACUGGCAGGCUAGAGUCUUGUAGAGGGGGGUAGAAUUCCAGGUGUAGCGGUGAAAUGCGUAGGGAUCUGGAGGAAUACCGGUGGCGAAGGCGGCCCCCUGGACAAAGACUGACGCUCAGGUGCGAAAGCGUGGGGAGCAAACAGG
rnacentral:rRNA from 1 species